GAAAGCGAGGUUUGGAAGGGUGAGCUACCAAGUGAUUUCAGCUCUGCUGCCUGUUGAGCAAGGGCGAAGUGUGCGCAGGCGCAAUUGCUCUAGAGAUUCCCCAGGGGCUGGGAAGCCCAUCUGGACCCUGCUGUGUAUUAAGGCUAUGUAUGGGACCACACAGCAGCCAGAGCCAAGGUCUUGCUGACAGAAUUGGAAAGGUCUGGGAGAUGAGCCAGAGGUUGAUACCACAGCACAGAGGACACUGGGACCAUGUGACCCGGGGGAAGACACUCCAUCUCAACAGCUAAGCAGAUGGCUUGCAGCAGAGCAAUCUUAUUUCCUAAUUUGCUACCUGCUAGUGCUGUGGGGGAGAUCAGAGAAACUGACGGGGGCUGUUCCUUCACAGAUAUUUGCUGAGUACCAACUGUGCUCUUGGGCUGGGAGGGGUCCAAGUCAAGCUCUCUUCUAGGACCACUGACAGGGAAGCCAGCACCGCAGGGAUCAGUGGAAAAGCCAACACCCCACCCCCGCCCCCACAGCCCUCCUCUGUAGGAGGCUAGCAUGUCGGGCCAGGCGCCGUGGUAACUCAGCAGUGUGACCUAACGGUUCACUCCUGUUCCCCCUCCUUCCUAUCACGUGACCUGGGGAGCUCCUUAGGGCUCAGUGCUUGAGUCUCUGUUUGAGAUGGACUUUGAGAUGGACAUAAAUAUGCACCUUUCUCCUGGCUCUGGUGUGGGGAUUAAGUGGAUUCAUUUGCUGAGUACCUUACUGAGUAAAGUGCUCAGCACUAAGCCAGACAUGUCUUAGGCAUCACUGAAGGCUUUGAAAGUUAACGGCUUGCCAUGACCCUGCCGUGACCCU